GAUGAACGCUGGCGGCGUGCCUAAUACAUGCAAGUCGAGCGAACAGACGAGGAGCUUGCUCCUUUGACGUUAGCGGCGGACGGGUGAGUAACACGUAGGUAACCUACCUAUAAGACUGGGAUAACUUCGGGAAACCGGAGCUAAUACCGGAUAAUAUUUCGAACCGCAUGGUUCGAUAGUGAAAGAUGGCUUUGCUAUCACUUAUAGAUGGACCUGCGCCGUAUUAGCUAGUUGGUAAGGUAACGGCUUACCAAGGCAACGAUACGUAGCCGACCUGAGAGGGUGAUCGGCCACACUGGAACUGAGACACGGUCCAGACUCCUACGGGAGGCAUCAGUAGGGAAUCUUCCGCAAUGGGCGAAAGCCUGACGGAGCAACGCCGCGUGAGUGAUGAAGGUCUUCGGAUCGUAAAACUCUGUUAUUAGGGAAGAACAAACGUGUAAGUAACUGUGCACGUCUUGACGGUACCUAAUCAGAAAGCCACGGCUAACUACGUG
rnacentral:rRNA from 1 species